UAAAUGUUUUAGUUACUAAAAACAAAAGUGGUUCCCCUUUCUGACUCAGUUUUCAAAAAGCAUUUAGGGUUUACUCUCUCUGAUGGAUAAACCAUCAUCUUCUUCAAAACGCUCAUGGAUUUGGGUAAUCGAAGCCCUUGCAAGUUACAACAAAUUCCCUAUAACCACUUUGCAAGAUUUGAUUGAUGCAGCUCCAGUAACUCAAGAAGAUUUUACUGAAAGUGCAAAGGAAUUUAUCGCUUUGAGGUGUUUAGAGGAACUUUCUCCUUUUACUCCUUCUUCUACAGUUCCACUUGAUUCUUCCCGUACUUGUCUAGAUGUUUUUGAUCAAAUUAUGAAUCAGGAACCGUCAUCAAAUCUGGAUAUGAGUAAUUUGACUAUGACUAGUAUUGGAGCAGAGUUUCUCAAAUGGGAUCUUAACUCAUUUAUUAUGCACAAAAGAGCCAGCAAUAUGAAAUGUCAGUUAGAGAAGAUGAAAGAUUCAAUAUUGGAUGGUACUCUACAGCUUCCUGAUAAGUUAAAAGAAAUGAGUGGAUUAUUUCCAAAGAAUCGGGCUAAUAUGGCAUGUGUGAAUGAGGGCAAACGCGAUUAUUGUUCAGUAAAGGGUGAUGGCAACUCCACUUAUGCAGAAGACAUGAGAGCAAAAGAGAACUCGGCAUGUUUACUAUUAAAGGAUGGCAACAAAUCUUCGAAAGAAGGUUUAACUGGUAAUAACCGUUUAUGCUCUAAGAGGACUAGGGUUGACUUGACUGAUGAGAAUAGUGGGAGCUGCCUUAAUGAAACGGAAGUUUUUAUAAUUAAAUAUAAUGAGUUCAUAAGAAGUACUGAAAAGAUUAAAUGUAAUGCAUCUACGGAUUUUGAUUCCAAGAAAGAAAAGCAAGUUUCUCGACUUGGAAAGGAAGUGUCAGAAAAUUCGGUUGAAGAAAUUCAAAUUCCUAAGAAUGUAGGGCAUCACUCAGAAAUGAAUAACACAGAAACUCUUUGUGAUGGAUCCUUAGAGGAUGAUGGAUCCUCAGAAGAUACUCAUACUAUGUGCACUACGUCAAAUUUGUGCCAAUCCAGCGGUCAGCAUACAUGUGAAGGUGAAACUAUUGAUACUGUACAUGUUGAUCCCAUUCCAAUAAAUGAUGUAAUUGAUAUUGACAGUGAAGCAGAGUUAUCAAGUGAUAGUGAUGUGUAUCACAAUGAAAAGAUUGCUCUUACGAACAAAAAGGAUGAAUUCCUGAGGUCCCAGCACGCUUUUGGUCAACCCAACAAAAAGAAACCAAAUGUUGCAUCUUCAAAUGUCUCGCAGAAGCCCGUUGCUAGCGAUAAAGGUGUAGUUGAUGCUGGCAGUGAAGCAGAGUUAUCAAGUGACAGUGAUAUGUAUCACAAUGAAGAGAUUGCUCUUACAGCCAAAAAAGAUGAAUUCCCGAGGUCCCGGCACGCUUUUGGUCAAGAUUUGCCAGCAAUGACUGAAUCGACUGGACAAAACCUUUGCAUUAAGUGCAAUGAAGCUGGGCAGUUGCUGGUUUGUCAAACUAGUACUUGCUCAUUGAUGAUGCAUAAAAAUUGCCUGGUUGAUUCUGCUCAGUUGGACGGAAAUGGAAACUUUCUCUGCCCAUUUUGUGGAUAUUCUCGCACUAUUUCAGAAUACCUUGAAGCCAAGAAAUCAGCUUCUUUGGCAAAGAAACAAUUAGCCAUCUUCAAAAGUAAGCGUAUAAGGAAUUAGAUUCUGUAUGCAUGAAGUUCAAUAGUAAGUUCCUCCUACCUUUUCUCACCAAUGUAUGGAAAUUGAACUUCUUAUUAAUUGAGCUGUUAGGGAGAUCAUCUUAUCUAAUCAUGUGCAGUAAAGUUUUUUGGUAAAAAUAUGUGCUGUUAGUACUCUUUUGGAUGUUGGAAUAUUCAAUCCGUUUUUUUGAUAUAUUCUUGAAGACGAGUUUACUUCAAUUUUUUCCCCUGCAUGAGGAUAUUUACCCAUGCAAUUUUCCAUAUUAUAUAGUUCAAGCAAUGUUUUCAUCUCAGAAUGUUUUUAUCUCAGAAUGUUUUUAUCUAACCUUGAUAAAGUAAGCGGCCCUGUGGUUUGCUGUUAGUUUUAUUUUCCAGCCACCAAUAAUUACAGAAUGCCAUUUUGUUUGAGAACUUAUAAAAGCAAUGGUAAAAACUAUAUUUUGUUGUUCCUCUACUUGGAAUUUAUUAAAAUAGUAAACAAAGUGAAAAUAAGACUUUUUUUAAUCUUUAGUAAAUCACACUAACUGAAGUUAGUACUUAGUAGUAUUGAAUAGGAACACUCAUCUUUACCCUGACUCUUUCUCGUGUUAAAAGAAUAAAGUGUUAUAGUUAUUAGUAGAAAUUCUUGUUUGCUUCUCUUCUCUGUCAUUAAUAUCAUCUGAAUAAUAAUAAUAAAUAGAGAAGCAUAUUAUAUUGCAUGUACUUAUACUACUAUUUUGCAAAUAUCUUAUGCAUUUCUUAUUUUUGUCAUGACAAUUGACAAGUGGUUAAAGUUAAAGAUGGUUCAUACCCUUUAUUAAGUGAAUGUAGAUUCUACUGAUCUUUAUUACUAUUUGGUAAUUUUUGCGAGGUUCUUCUCCAUUUAUUUUAGCCAUUUAUGUUCUCAUUUUUCUCAUAUAUUACUUCCUCCUUCUACAGCCUAUCAUUCCCCCCUUUAAUAUUUGUCUAUCUUUCUUCCGGCUUGCAUUUGAUAAAUAUUUUUAAUACAUAUUAUACAGGCUGUGCAUCUCCCUCUUCGAGAUAUUCACAUCAUGCCUCUCGUAAUUCUGUAUUUGAGAGACCAAAUCGUCUUCUUUGAUAUUGAGAGUAAGUUGGACAUAGAGAUUGAGUUUAACCCUACUCAAAUACCCUCAGUUAUAUGUUUCCCUUUUUAGUUUCUCUCCCACACUCUUCUCAUCUCACUCUGUCUCUCUCAGUAGCGACUCACUCGCCAUUCACGAUAACCCAAAUCACAGCUUCUUGCCUUCUUCACUCAGUCUCCCUCUCACUCCGGCAUUCCCUCCCACUCUUCAAUUUCACAGGUAAGGCAUUGGGAUUUCUUUUUUUUUUUUGCAACAGCUUUGGGGUGGUUCUACUUCAGACUGCUAUGGAGUGAGAGUUUCGGCGCUGAUGCGUUGGUUUGGUGUUCACGUCAACUCCUGGUUUUUCUUCUUAGUGUUAGGGUUUCAAUAUGUAGUGGAGUGACUUUUUGUUGGUAUUUUGUAACCCUAUGACAAUAUUUUGGGCAAGAUCCGCCACUAACCCUAUGCCUCUAACACUAUAUUUCUGGUAUGCCUUCUUGAAAACGAGAAGUUAAUUGGAACCUGUAAGUAUUUGGUCCAUCAGUUAGUUAAGUCAAAUGCUAUGGAAAUAGUAAAAGAUAUUAUUAGA